rnacentral:rRNA from 1 species
UACGUAGGGUGCAAGCGUUAAUCGGAAUUACUGGGCGUAAAGCGUGCGCAGGUGGUGAUGUAAGACAGGUGUGAAAUCCCCGGGCUUAACCUGGGAACUGCAUUUGUGACUGCAUGGCUAGAGUUUGUCAGAGGGGGGUGGAAUUCCACGUGUAGCAGUGAAAUGCGUAGAUAUCGGGAGGAACACCGGUGGCGAAGGCGGCCCCCUGGUUGGAUACUGACGCUGAGACGCGAAAGCCAGGGGAGCGAACGGG